CUCUUCCCUUUUCGGCUCGGUGUUACUACCCCGUUCCUGUCAUAUCCGCAUCCGUCCCUUCGUAUCACCCGAUUUGUUCUACCAGAUUCUCAGCUGAGGCGGGGUUGAAAAGGACUGGACGGCCUUAGACACCAGCUUGUGUCAAACCUCCCACUUCGAUAAGCGGGACUUCAGAAGUGCGACGAGGAUUGCUCAUUAAGAGCACAUAAGCCCGCCCUGCAUGUUGUCAUUGGCUUUUUGUCCUUGACACCUUACACGCUCAGCGACAAGUAUCACUAUUCCAACGUUCACAACAAUCAUCAUGAAGAGCCAACUCGCCUCUCUUCUAACGGCAUUGAGGCAUUUCUCUCCCCUAUUCCCUGACUGUUGGACCAAACGAUGCUAACUUUCUUUGACAGCACCGUCUCCGCCGGCCCCUGUAAAGCUGCCAUCACAACCACCACAAUCACCCCGGCUCCUUCACCUACCCUCGCGCCAUCCUGCACCUUCACAGGUACCCAGACACAAUGGGCCACCAGCGGGUGUGAUCUCCCCUGCAACACAAGUAUUUUCUGCAUCUGGGAUGGUGAGUUUGGCGUUGAGGCCUCCCUGUUUCGGCUGACUGCUGACUGGUCUCGAUCUUCCUUUAGCUGCCGUCACCCAGCCUUGCGGCUGCUCAUCUGUACCAGUCGUGACGACGACCGUCACCCUUUGCCCGACGAGAACGCCGUGCCAGCAGUGCACCACCGGUUGGGGCAUUUUCACGUAUACGCAAUCUUGUGAGGCUACUGCGACUCCUUAAUUGGACCGAGCAGGCGUUGUUUAUCGGCGACUGUGGAGUUGAGCUCGUUGGGGGUUCGAGAAAGGUGACGCGCUGUCACCAUCUGGUGACUCUAUCAGGGGUAA